rnacentral:sRNA from 1 species
GUGGGUCCCCGGAGGCUCGGCUGGCGGCGGGGCUGGGUCGCAGCUCUGAAAUCUGAUUCUUUGUCUUCCCGGUCUCCAUGUCCAGGUGUCCGUGUUCUUCAGGACCAGCCCAAAGCACAAGCUCAAAAUCAUCAAGGCUCUGCAGGAGUCAGGGGCGAUCGUGGCCAUGACUGGGGAUGGGGUGAACGACGCAGUGGCCCUGAAGUCUGCAGACAUCGGGAUCGCCAUGGGGCAGACAGGGACGGACGUCAGCAAAGAGGCUGCCAACAUGAUCCUGGUGGACGAUGACUUCUCAGCCAUCAUGAAUGCAGUGGAGGAAGGCAAGGGGAUUUUUUACAACAUCAAAAACUUUGUCCGAUUCCAGCUGAGCACCUUGGGGGUAGAGCCCGUUGACAAAGACGCCUUCAGGCAGCCACCAAGGAGUGUGAAGGACACCAUCCUCAGCAGAGCCCUCAUCCUGAAGAUCCUCAUGUCUGCGGCCGUCAUCAUCAGCGGGACCCUCUUUAUCUUCUGGAAGGAGAUGCCUGAAGACAGAGCAAGCACUCCCCGCACCACGACGAUGACGUUCACUUGUUUUGUGUUUUUUGAUCUCUUCAACGCCUUGAGCUGCCGCUCUCAGACCAAGCUGAUAUUUGAGAUCGGCUUUCUCAGGAACCACAUGUUCCUCUACUCCGUCCUUGGGUCCAUCCUGGGGCAGCUGGCAGUCAUUUACAUCCCCCCGCUACAGAGGGUCUUCCAGACGGAGAACCUGGGAGCGCUUGAUUUGCUGUUUUUAACUGGAUUGGCCUCAUCCGUCUUCAUUUUGUCAGAGCUCCUCAAACUAUGUGAAAAAUACUGUUGCAGCACCAAGAGAGUCCAGACGCAUCCUGAAGAUGUGU